rnacentral:rRNA from 1 species
GUAAUAAUCCUGUAGUCGAAAAUGUUGUCUCUCUUGAGUGGAUCCUGAGUACGACGGAGCACGUGAAAUUCCGUCGGAAUCUGGGAGGACCAUCUCCUAAGGCUAAAUACUCUCUAGUGACCGAUAGUGAACCAGUACCGUGAGGGAAAGGUGAAAAGCACCCCGGAAGGGGAGUGAAAUAGAACCUGAAACCGUGUGCUUACAAGUAGUCAGAGCCCGUUAAUGGGUGAUGGCGUGCCUUUUGUAGAAUGAACCGGCGAGUUACGAUUUGAUGCAAGGUUAAGCAGUAAAUGUGGAGCCGUAGCGAAAGCGAGUCUGAAUAGGGCGUUUAGUAUUUGGUCGUAGACCCGAAACCAGGUGAUCUACCCUUGGUCAGGUUGAAGUUCAGGUAACACUGAAUGGAGGACCGAACCGACUUACGUUGAAAAGUGAGCGGAUGAACUGAGGGUAGCGGAGAAAUUCCAAUCGAACCUGGAGAUAGCUGGUUCUCUCCGAAAUAGCUUUAGGGCUAGCCUCAAGUGAUGAUUAUUGGAGGUAGAGCACUGUUUGGACGAGGGGCCCCUCUCGGGUUACCGAAUUCAGACAAACUCCGAAUGCCAAUUAAUUUAACUUGGGAGUCAGAACAUGGGUGAUAAGGUCCGUGUUCGAAAGGGAAACAGCCCAGACCACCAGCUAAGGUCCCAAAAUAUAUGUUAAGUGGAAAAGGAUGUGGCGUUGCCCAGACAACUAGGAUGUUGGCUUAGAAGCAGCCAUCAUUUAAAGAGUGCGUAAUAGCUCACUAGUCGAGUGACAC